rnacentral:misc_RNA from 1 species
UACGGAGGAUGCAAGCGUUAUCCGGAAUUAUUGGGCGUAAAGCGUCCGUAGGUGGCACUUCAAGUCUUUUGUCAAAGCGUGCGGCUUAACCGCAUACGGGCAGAGGAAACUGAAGCGCUAGAGUGCGAUAGGGGUCACAGGAAUUCCCAGUGUAGCGGUGAAAUGCGUAGAUAUUGGGAAGAACACCAGCGGCGAAAGCGUGUGACUGGGUCUGCACUGACACUGAGGGACGAAAGCUAGGGGAGCGAAAGGG